rnacentral:rRNA from 1 species
UACGUAGGGUGCGAGCGUUGUCCGGAAUUAUUGGGCGUAAAGGGCUCGUAGGCGGUUUGUCGCGUCGGGAGUGAAAUCCACUGGCUUAACUGGUGGCUUGCUUUCGAUACGGGCAGACUGGAGGUAUGCAGGGGAGAACGGAAUUCCUGGUGUAGCGGUGAAAUGCGCAGAUAUCGGGAGGAACACCAGUGGCGAAGGCGACUACCUGGCCUGUUCUUGACGCUGAGGCGCGAAAGCUAGGGGAGCAAACGGG